GUGCCAGCAGCCGCGGUAAGACGUAGGAUGCAAGCGUUGUCCGGAAUUAUUGGGCGUAAAGAGUUCGUAGGUGGCAUGUUAAGUCUAGUGUUAAAGCCCGAGGCUCAACUUCGGUUCGGCACUGGAUACUGGCAAGCUAGAGUGCGGUAGAGGCAAGGGGAAUUCCUGGUGUAGCGGUGAAAUGCGUAGAUAUCAGGAGGAACACCGGUGGCGUAACGCCUUGCUGGGCCGUAACUGACACUGAGGAACGAAAGCCAGGGUAGCAAAUGGAUUAGAUACCCCAGUAGUCCUGGCCGUAAACGAUGGAUACUAGGUGUUGCGGGUAUCGACCCCUGCAGUGCCGUAGCUAACGCACUAAGUAUCCCGCCUGGGGAGUACGCACGCAAGUGUAAAACUCAAAGGAAUUGACGGGGACCGCACAAGCGGUGGAACAUGUGGUUUAAUUCGAAGCAACGCGAAGAACCUUACCAAGACUUGACAUCCUGAGAACAUUUCCGAAAAGAAGUGGUGCCCUUCGGGGAACUCAGAGACAGGUGGUGCACGGUUGUCGUCAGCUCGUGUCGUGAGAUGUUGGGUUAAGUCCUGCAACGAGCGCAACCCUUGUCGUUAAGUUGCUGCAAAGAGUACACUCUUUGUUAGCUCUCUAACGAGACUGCCGGUGAUAAACCGGAGGAAGGUGAGGAUGACGUCAAAUCAUCAUGCCCCUUAUGUCUUGGGCUACACACGUGUUACAAUGGCAAGGACAACGAGCAGCCAACUCGCGAGAGUGCGCAAAUCUCUUAAAUCUUGCCUCAGUUCGGAUUGUAGUCUGCAACUCGACUACAUGAAGUCGGAAUCACUAGUAAACGCAGAUCAGCACGCUGCGUUGAAUACGUUCCCGGGUCUUGUACACACCGCCCGU
rnacentral:rRNA from 1 species